rnacentral:rRNA from 1 species
GAUGAACGCUGGCGGCGUGCUUAACACAUGCAAGUCGAACGGAAAGGCCGAAGCUUGCUUCGGUACUCGAGUGGCGAACGGGUGAGUAACACGUGGGUGAUCUGCCCUGUACUUCGGGAUAAGCUUGGGAAACUGGGUCUAAUACCGGAUAUGACGAUCUCUUGGAUGGGGUUGUGGAAAGCUUUUGCGGUAUGGGAUGAGCUCGCGGCCUAUCAGCUUGUUGGUGGGGUAAUGGCCUACCAAGGCGUCGACGGGUAGCCGGCCUGAGAGGGUGUACGGCCACAUUGGGACGGAGAUACGGCCCAGACUCCUACGGGAGGCAGCAGUGGGGAAUAUUGCACAAUGGGCGCAAGCCUGAUGCAGCGACGCCGCGUGGGGGAUGACGGCCUUCGGGUUGUAAACUCCUUUCGCAAUCGACGAAGCCUUUUGGUGACGGUAGGUUGAGAAGAAGCACCGGCUAACUACGUG